rnacentral:tRNA from 1 species
GGAAUGUGGCUUAGUGGUAAAGUACUUGCCUUGCAUGCAUGAAGCCCUGGGUUCAAUUCCUCAGUACCA